rnacentral:rRNA from 1 species
GCUGAAUGGGGGGGAGGCGCCGCGGUAAGACGGAGGGUGCGGUCGUGAAUCUGAAUGAUGGGGCGUAAAGAGUGCGUAGGCGGUUGUGUAAGGGAGAUGGUAAAGACCUGGGCUCAAACGCGGAAGAGCAUUUGGAACUGGCGGACUAGAGUGCAGUAGAGGGAGGCAGAAUUCCAAGUGUAGCGGGGAAAUGCGUAGAGAUCGGGAGGAACACCGGUGGCGAAGGCGGCUCGCUGGGCAAUGACUGACGCUGAUGCACGAAAGCGUGGGGAGCAAACAGGAUUAGAUACCCUAGUAGUC